AAGGGAGCAGAGAGCAACAAAUGCCUGUUGAAAUGCUGAUUGCCUUGGAGAGGUUAAGCCCCUUGCCUCAGAAGGGGAAGUUAUCAGCAGUUACCACCCACCUCCUGCUUAGGUUCACACCACACCAUCAACUGCCCAGAGCUGCAAGGUGCUGAGAGGAGAGGAAACGGUGAGGUAUGCAACUGGGAGCACAAGUAGGACAGCACUGAUGGAGGCGACAGCCCGAGAAAGCUCCAAAGAACCACUACAACAGCACAAGGGUUUUGGUGCAACUGGCAUGUCAGCCCCAGCUUUCUGCACAAAAUAACAUUGGAAGCUGGGGUAGCAAC